rnacentral:rRNA from 1 species
GGAUUGUAAAACUCUGUUGUUAGGGACGAAAGCACCGUGUUCGAACAGGUCAUGGUGUUGACGGUACCUAACGAGGAAGCCACGGCUAACUACGUUCCAGCAGCCGCGGUAAUACGUAGGUGGCAAGCGUUGUCCGGAAUUAUUGGGCGUAAAGAGCAUGUAGGCGGGCUUUUAAGUCUGACGUGAAAAUGCGGGGCUUAACCCCGUAUGGCGUUGGAUACUGGAAGUCUUGAGUGCAGGAGAGGAAAGGGGAAUUCCCAGUGUAGCGGUGAAAUGCGUAGAUAUUGGGAGGAACACCAGUGGCGAAGGCGCCUUUCUGGACUGUGUCUGACGCUGAGAUGCGAAAGCCAGGGUAGCAAACGGGAUUAGAUACCCCGGUAGUCCUGGCCGUAAA